UGGAGAUCUCUUCUUGGUGGAGCUUUUCUCUGUAAACCCAGAAUCUUCCAAUGCAGGCAGGAGUGAGCAAGUGCACAGGAAUUGACUGGAUGAGCUGGAGGAGUUUCCAAUUUACUUCGCUACCUCUGUCAGAAAGGCUUGAAAAACCUGCUCCAAGGAGCAGAUUGCUGUGUUUCCUGCUCUACAUGUAGCUGAAAUGAUAGCAGACUUCCUUAUUGUCAAUUUAGCAACGGUUUCUGUUCCAUCUAUUUUGGAAGUUCAGAACACCAAAAAGUAAAACAUCAAGGGAUAAUAAGGAUAACACUAACUACAGCUGCUGGAAGAGAUUGGAUGGUACUGUGCUUUUGUUUGCAGUAUUGUGUGAGCAUCACUGAGAACAUGCUGCUAUUAUUUUAUUAACUUUUUCAGAGGAUUUUCUUGUAAAUUUACUGUUAUUUGAAAAUCUGUCUUGUAUUGCC